rnacentral:rRNA from 1 species
UACGAAGGGUGCAAGCGUUACUCGGAAUUACUGGGCGUAAAGCGUGCGUAGGUGGUUCGUUAAGUCUGAUGUGAAAGCCCUGGGCUCAACCUGGGAAUGGCAUCCGAUACUGGUGGGCUAGAGUGCGGUAGAGGAGAGCGGAAUUCCCGGUGUAGCGGUGAAAUGCGUAGAGAUCGGGAGGAACAUCCGUGGCGAAGGCGGCUCUCUGGACCAGGCACUGACGUUGAGGCCACGAAAGCGUGGGAGCAAACAGGAGUUAGAAACCCCGAUG